rnacentral:rRNA from 1 species
CCUACGGGAGGCAGCAGUGGGGAAUAUUGGACAAUGGGCGAAAGCCUGAUCCAGCCAUGCCGCGUGUGUGAAGAAGGCCUUCGGGUUGUAAAGCACUUUCAGUGGGGAAGAAAGCCUUGGGGCUAAUACCCUCGAGGAAGGACAUCACCCACAGAAGAAGCACCGGCUAACUCCGUGCCAGCAGCCGCGGUAAUACGGAGGGUGCGAGCGUUAAUCGGAAUUACUGGGCGUAAAGCGCGCGUAGGCGGUCUGAUAAGCCGGUUGUGAAAGCCCCGGGCUCAACCUGGGGACGGCAUCCGGAACUGUCAGGCUAGAGUGCAGGAGAGGAAGGUAGAAUUCCCGGUGUAGCGGUGAAAUGCGUAGAGAUCGGGAGGAAUACCAGUGGCGAAGGCGGCCUUCUGGACUGACACUGACGCUGAGGUGCGAAAGCGUGGGUAGCAAACAGGAUUAGAUACCCGAGUAGUC